AGAGUUUGAUCCUGGCUCAGGAUGAACGCUGGCGGCGUGCCUAACACAUGCAAGUCGAGCGAUCUCUUCGGAGAGAGCGGCGGACGGGUGAGUAUCGCGUGGGUAACCUGCCCUGUACACACGGAUAACAUACCGAAAGGUAUACUAAUACGGGAUAACAUACGAAAGUCGCAUGGCUUUUGUAUCAAAGCUCCGGCGGUACAGGAUGGACCCGCGUCUGAUUAGCUAGUUGGUAAGGUAAUGGCUUACCAAGGCAACGAUCAGUAGCCGACCUGAGAGGGUGAUCGGCCACACUGGAACUGAGACACGGUCCAGACUCCUACGGGAGGCAGCAGUGGGGAAUAUUGCACAAUGGGCGAAAGCCUGAUGCAGCAACGCCGCGUGAGCGAUGAAGGCCUUCGGGUCGUAAAGCUCUGUCCUCAAGGAAGAUAAUGACGGUACUUGAGGAGGAAGCCCCGGCUAACUACGUGCCAGCAGCCGCGGUAAUACGUAGGGGGCUAGCGUUAUCCGGAAUUACUGGGCGUAAAGGGUGCGUAGGUGGUUUUUUAAGUCAGAAGUGAAAGGCUACGGCUCAACCGUAGUAAGCUUUUGAAACUAGAGAACUUGAGUGCAGGAGAGGAGAGUAGAAUUCCUAGUGUAGCGGUGAAAUGCGUAGAUAUUAGGAGGAAUACCAGUAGCGAAGGCGGCUCUCUGGACUGUAACUGACACUGAGGCACGAAAGCGUGGGGAGCAAACAGGAUUAGAUACCCUGGUAGUCCACGCCGUAAACGAUGAGUACUAGGUGUCGGGGGGUACCCCCCUCGGUGCCGCAGCUAACGCAUUAAGUA
rnacentral:rRNA from 1 species